GGUAUAUUUUUUUAAUUACCACACUUUAAAGACAAACACGGCCAUUGGGCGAUUUCUGUCAAUGAUGGAGGACCUUCUUCAAGUUACAAUUCACCACAACACCCUGAGGAAAGCAAUUUUUCAUUUCUGGGCAAUGAAAAGAUAUAGCUAUGACUUUUCCUGUAUUCGCUGUGGCCAUGAACCACCUAUCCUAAUUGCUGAUGGUAAUUGGAAGGUGGCAUUUGAUUUACCUGUCAAUCUCCUGAAGAGACCAUGUACUCAGAAUGUACAACCAAGUGACCUUAGAGUUGAUGUUGAUGAGAGAUGGUCAUCAUUGGAAAAGGAAUUAAUUUGUGUUGGUUUCAGUAAUGAAACAAAGGAGAGAAACCCUUUCUCCAGUGAACUGUCCUACUCAUCUUUUGCCCCUUGGCUUGGAUCCUCCUGCAGAGCUGGAAAAGUUUUAACAAAAACAGAGAUCCUCAAAGGGUUUUCAGAUCGUCUAAGUGACAAGUCACCUCCUGUGGACUCGCAUGCUGUUGAGGACACAGUACUAAAAUUGCUUGA